UACGUAGGGUGCAAGCGUUGUCCGGAUUUAUUGGGCGUAAAGAGCUCGUAGGCGGUUUAGUAAGUUGGGUGUGAAAACUCCAGGCUCAACCUUGAGAUGCCACCCAAGACUGCUAUGACUUGAGUCUGGUAGGGGAGCACGGAAUUCCUGGUGUAGCGGUGAAAUGCGCAGAUAUCAGGAGGAACACCGGUGGCGAAGGCGGUGCUCUGGGCCAGUACUGACGCUGAGGAGCGAAAGCGUGGGGAGCAAACAGG
rnacentral:rRNA from 1 species